rnacentral:sRNA from 1 species
CUUAUUGUGGCAUUGCGCCGUACAUUCGAGAGUUUGAGGACCCUCGAGAUGCCCCUCCUCCAACUCGUGCAGAAACCCGAGAGGAGCGCAUGGAGAGGAAAAGACGGGAAAAGAUUGAGCGGCGACAGCAAGAAGUGGAGACAGAGCUUAAAAUGUGGGACCCUCACAAUGAUCCCAACGCUCAGGGGGAUGCCUUCAAGACUCUCUUCGUGGCGAGAGUGAACUAUGACACAACAGAAUCCAAGCUCCGAAGAGAGUUUGAGGUGUACGGACCUAUCAAAAGAAUACACAUGGUCUACAGUAAGCGGUCAGGAAAGCCCCGUGGCUAUGCCUUCAUCGAGUAUGAACACGAGCGAGACAUGCACUGUGAGUACCUCCCGCCGAGCCCUGCCCUCUGACCCACUCUCACUUCUCUGCUGCCCAGCCCCUCCCAGUCUGUCCCCUCCCCCACCCUGCCACACCUGACAUUAGCAAUGUCUCUUCUCCUCCUCCCUCUGUUUCUGAUGUAUCUUUUUUUUUUUUAUAUACGUGUUUUUUAAAAAACAAAAACCAAAUCCCCCAC